rnacentral:rRNA from 1 species
GACGAACGCUGGCGGCGUGCCUAAUACAUGCAAGUCGAACGCAGGGGGGACGGGUGAGUAACACGUGGGUAACCUCCCAUCAGAGGAGAUAACACUUGGAAACAGGUGCUAAACCGAUAUUGGAGGGUGGACCCGCGGUGCAUUAGCUAGUUGGUGAGGUAACGGCGCACCCAGGCCACGAUGCAUAGCCGACCUGAGAGGGGGAUCGGCCACACCGGGACUGAGACACGGCCCAGACGCCUACGGGAGGCAGCAGUAGGGAAUCUUCGGCAAUGGACGAAAGGCUGACAGAGCAACGCCGCGUGAGUGAAGAAGGUGUUCGGGUCGUAAAACUCUGGUGCUAGAGAAGCGGUAUCUAACCAGAAAGCCACGGCUAACUACGUGCCAGCAGCCGCGGUAAUUC